rnacentral:rRNA from 1 species
GGGGAAUAUUGCGCAAUGGGGGGAACCCUGACGCAGCGACGCCGCGUGAAGGAAGAAGGCCUUCGGGUUGUAAACUUCUUUGAUUGGGGAAGAAAAAUGACGGUACCCAAAGAACAAGCCACGGCUAACUACGUGCCAGCAGCCGCGGUAAUACGUAGGUGGCGAGCGUUAUCCGGAAUUACUGGGUGUAAAGGGCGUGUAGGCGGGGAUGCAAGUCAGAUGUGAAAUUCCGGGGCUCAACCUCGGCACUGCAUCUGAAACUGUGUCUCUUGAGUGCUGGAGAGGAAAGUGGAAUUCCUAGUGUAGCGGUGAAAUGCGUAGAGAUUAGGAGGAACACCAGUGGCGAAGGCGACUUUCUGGACAGCAACUGACGCUGAGGCGCGAGAGCGUGGGGAGCAAACA